rfam:Rattus norvegicus chromosome 2, whole genome shotgun sequence.
GGGGAUUUAGCUCAGUGGUAGAGCGCUUACCUGGGAAGUGCAAGGCCCUGGGUUCGGUCCCCAGCUCCG